GGAAGCUGCUUCCCUUAUUUAAGUCCCCACUGUAAGAUACAGAUGGAGUCUGGCACAGCUCCAGGUGUAAUUACAAGACUUGAUUCAGUUAGGGGCCUGAAUGGAAGAGAAGGUGAAGCUUGUCUGCGGUCUGGAGUCAAAGUAGCGAAUUCCCAGAAAGCUCUGAUUCAAUUAAGUGGGGGAGGCCUCUGCCAGUUCCUGUUCUGUUAUUGCAUUUUUAAGGCUCCUGUCCACAGCAGAAUGCCUGCUGGCAGUUACAGUUGAUAAACUAAGUAGGAGUUUCCUGCUCCAGAGGGAGUGAAGGCACUGGCAGCCACCACUGGCAGCUGGAACUCCCAAGCUACUCCACGACGCGGGAGGUUGCCUGGCAGUCAGUUUUGAUGACCAGGCCUAGGAGCCACUCUCAAAUCCAAUUCUCCCUACUUUUGAACCGAUUCAGAAGACUCGGAGACCUUGAAAAUGAAAUCAAUGAGAUGUUACUGGGAAUAUUUAUAAACCACAUCCUAAUGCUGCCACAGAUAAUGAAAGAAUACUUCGCAGAGUCAAGUCAAUCCAAGAGAGGAUGAGGAAUUUAUUUUCCAUGAUUUCCUAAAUUUACAUAACUCAAACUUCCAGCUUUUGAAUCUGAGAGGCCUUCCAUUUAGCAUCUCUCCAAUCCUCUUUUGAAGAAACCCAAACUGGACAGACAGUUACUGAAUUUUUGUAAUGUCCGAGGCUUCCAGGAGGAGUGACACAUAUCUCUGCUGGAUGAGCUCACAGUUCCAAUGAGAAGAUACAAGCUGAAAGAUUGCAGCAGAACUGGGAAGUGAAAGCACGGAGAGGCUGUGGGACAUGGAGGAGGGGCGGUAAGAUUGAGAAAGAGGUAACAGUUGGGGUGACUUUGGACCUGAGACCUGGGCAGGCAUAAGAAGUCUCACUCUCUAUUCCAUUCUUGGCAGGGGAUGUUUCUUUGUACCAGGUAGCUUUGCGCUUGUUUUGUUCCAUAAAAGUAAAUCUCUGUUCACUAAGGAAUUAUGGUAGUGAAUGGUGACUCUCCGGAAUUAUAGGGCUAAUUCCAAAAUAAUCUUAGUUUUAUUCCCCCACAUUGUAAUAUUAACACUUGGGAAUUUUGUUUAUCGCGAUGUUUAAUAAUUUGGCCAGCAGAGGGCACUGCAUACUGACAGUCUCUCCACACCAGUCGCUCAAAUCCUCAAGAGUUCCCGAAGUGUUAGGCUUAACUCAGGGGUGUUUGCAAGUGCUUUGCUCUUCUGUUUCAGACAUAAACAUAUGUCAGAAAUUAAAAGAGGGUUGUGAAGCAGGAAAUUAGAUUAACAGUAGCAUAUAAUUUCCCUCUAUUUGUUAAUAAAGAGAAAAAAUAUUGGUAUGUACACCCAUGUCUACAGGGUUUUAAAUGUAGCUGUAUUAAUUAAUGUAUUAAUAAUAUGAUAACACUACUUCUUGCAUAAAUCAACAUAACUUCUAAAUUCUCUUUGAAAAUAUUUUUGGUUUUAUAUUGUGGUUUAAUUCUCAAUCAUAAACUAAAAAGUAAAAAAACCUGAUGCCUAAUGUUAUACUUUCUUUCAAACCUUAAGAUAGAUAUUAUUGUUUGAAUAGUAUCAAAAUAUUGUGGUUCUGCACAAAUGCUUUUUAUAACUUCUUACGAUGAUAUUUUAAUUUCUAUUUCCACAUAUGGAUAUGAGUAUUCGAAAACAUUUGACGCACAAUUUUCUUCUCUUCAUCUCCCCAUUAUAAAAAUGUAAAGGUGUGUUUUAAAACCCGUUUGCUCUUGGUUAAACUUGACAAUGUGGAGACCCCUUUGUUAGCUGGUCCUAUGAGUUAAUGCACAGCCUUUGUGUUUUUCAUUUAAGGAAUAAACUAAACUGGUACCAUCCAAUGCUACUGACUUGAUUUGCCAUAGCCCAUCUCUAUGAUGUAAAUAUGGAUUCCCUGGCAUUUGCAGAGUUAAGACAGUCUCCUGGGAUCAAAGCCUGCAUCACAUAAAUACAGGAGAAAAGCUACUAAAAAUUUCUUACAGUAGGAAAACACUCAAGAAGGUUUUUAUAUUAAAAAUCCCUUAUCCCAAAAACUGUAGGCUGUGUUCUGAUGAUGUAUUACUAAUUUAUCAGAUAUAUUUAAUGACAGUUUGUAACAUGUUCCUACUAAGUGAAGGAACGGUGCUCUGAUAAGCACUGGGCAGAAUUGAAGAAGUAUGACAUUCUCUGAUCACUUAAUCCAUGCUCAAUUUGACUAGCAAUUUUAUUUAGGUUUAUUGCUUGCUAUAUAAUAUACUUAGUUGUAUAAGUAAGAUACAGAUUAAUAGUAUUUAAAUAUUACUUUGGAAGCUUUUAAGGGAAAUAAUUCUAAUUCUGAAUAAUACUAAAUAGCUCUGCAGCAUGUUGGGAUUUAAAUAUAGAUUCAGUCACUACUGUAGAUUAAGUCAUGAUUUGUCUUUUAAAAUUGGAAAGCGAGUUAACUUUUGCCCAUUGGUUCUCUUUGCAGUGAGUGACCGCCUGGGUACCUGUGGGCAUCUGCAUUCCACAUUGUGUCUGCAGUGCCCUCUUGUGGCCAUGCAUCUUUAUGCAGAUAGAGUCUUCCUCUACUACUAUCUUUUGGGGCUUCUUCCAUUUCGCUUUGCAUUGGUGAGGCUACUGGAAUAGGACUUACUUGAGCCCGGUUCAUUAUCUACAAGUAGGAUAUUGGUACCAGACAGCACUAGGAAGACUAAUACAAUCUUGGAGGAGGUACUUCAUAGCUUGAUGUUCUAAAGAUUAGCUUUAAGUCAUUACAUUUUUGGUCAUUUAUUUAAAGUGAUUAUUCCUCAUAAAAUAUGGUUAUUAUCAAAGAGCCUUUCUCCAUUUGUCCCAGAUCAACAAUGACUGGUAAGAGGUUCAGUACAGAAGAGUCAUCAUAUACAGUCCUAACCACCUCUGGCCUGAUCUAUUUUACACUGGGGCAUGACUGGCAUUGACUCCAGUCUUCCACGGCCUAAAUAAGAUUAGUACUCUGAACACAGUAAGAACUUUGUGAUUCCACCUCAGUUCCACCCAAGGCAAGGGGAAUACUUCCCCCAUUUCACAGACGUUUAUAUGGUGUCUUUUAGGGAAGAGGCAAAACACAGAUUGUUAUGGUUAAGACCUGAGUUCUGUAGUCAAACCUAGGCCAGCCCAUAGCAAACUUUGUGAAUCCAGGCAAAGAAUUCAACUUUACUGCCUUCAUUUUAUCAUCUGCAUACUGGGGAGAGUAACAGGUUGCUCUGAAGAUUAAGUGCCAACAGGCCUGUGAAACAUUGAACAGUCAUUAUUAGUUACUGGUGCUAAAAUGCAAUUGGUGCUAAAAUGGGACUUUUCUAUACAUUUUUUGAUUUUAAAUUAAUAGACUUUAGUUUUUAGAACCAUUUUAGGUUUACAGAAACAUUGAACAAAUAGUACAGAGAUUUGUCAUCUAUUCUUCCUUGUACAGUUUCUUCUAUUAACAUCUUCCACUAAUAUGAGACAUUUGUUAUAAUUCAUGAACAAAUAUUAAUACAUGGUUAUUAACUAAAGUCCAUAGUUUACUCUGGGUGUUGUAUACUCUGUGGGUUUUGAUGUGACUAAUGACAUAUAUCCACCACUGUAAUAUUAUACAGAAUAUUUUCAUUGCCCUAAAAAUCCUCUGUGUUCUGCCUGUUCAUCCCUGCCUCUCUGCUGCUCCUGGCAGCCCCUGAUCCUUUUACUCUCUGGAUAGUUUUGCCUUUUCCCGAAUAUUGUACAGUUGGAGUCAUGCAGGAUAAAGGCCUUUCUGGCUGCCUCCCUUCAUUUAGAAAUUUGCAUUUAAGUUUCCUCCAUGUCUUUUCGUGGGUUGAUAGCUAAUUUCUUGUUAUUUUUGAAUAAUAUUUCAUUGUCUGGCUGUACCACAGUCUGUCCACUCACCUUUAUUCCUAUAGUAUUUUAACUGCUUCCUUUCCUGUGGCGCCCACUACUGUGAGCCAAUGGAGGAAGAAUGCUGCAGUACAUCCAGUACUAUAGCCUUAGAAUCUGGGACAAUACUCGUUAAAUAAUAGCUCUUCAAUAAGUAUUUGUCUAAGUAAGAGAAGUUGAAAGAAAGAACUUUUGAAUUGGCCACAGUAGCAUUUAUUUUGGUAGUGGUGCUAAGGGACAGGGCUUCCAAAGGGCUGUCAAAAGUGAAUCCAGUUAUUAGUCUGCUUUCUUCUUGGAACCUGAAGGGCUUGGUGAUCCUGGGAGCACACUCCCUGCUGCGGAGCCUACGGUGCAGCAACACACUUCCCAGGGAGCUGCACUGGGCCACGGACACGCGUCAGUGGGCAUGCCAGCUGGACGUGUAUUUCCAGCCGUUCUAGCAACUUCUGCUGUCAGGAGGGACCCCUGUGUUCCUCGGAAGAUGGCUCAGUGGUGACUGUCAUAUCUCUGCCUAGAGAAGAGUUAGUGUGGUCGGGGGAUGUGGAGAAGAACUGGCAUAGGAUGUGAUCAGUCAUAGUUCCCUGGGGAUCCUUAUAAAUCCAUCUGUAAACCAUCGAGUGUUUAUGGAUAAAAUCAUGGCAGUAAAGUAUUUAUUAUUUAAUGACUGCUGCAGGGGAAGUUUUAGAAUUUUCACUGGCAAGGUAAGGGAGUAUAAUUUGUGUUGUAGGUGGUGGUGAAGGUUACUCCUAAAAUCAACAUUAUAAGCUUAAAAAAAAAGAGAAAGGAAGAAUAGUGUUUGGUAUAAAAGUGACCUGAAAGAAAACUGUCUGAAAGGUUUUUGUUAACAGAGGAAAAAUGUUUCUUCCAUGGACUCAUGUGUUCAGAGAAAUUGUUCAAUUCAAGGAGAGAAA